AGACCUGUUGUUAUAGCCUUCUUGUGAGCCAGAAUAACUAAAUUUAUUUUUCUCUCAUGUAGCAUAGUGCGGCGGAAGGGGGUAAGAACACGAGACAAAGUGGAGAAAGAGCUCUCGCAUGAUGCAGAUGAUAUUCCAAUCACAAAGGACUUAACAUGGCAACAUCCAGAAAAGAGGGAGAUUGUGGUUGAAGGCAAUUAACUGCUUUCAUGAGAUCCAGAUUGCUUUUGGAGAAUCUUGUCUCCAUCUCUACAAUGGCGAUGUCCAAAAUGUUGAGAAGAGCUCUCUUCAGAGCCUGGCUAGGAGUCAUGGAGUCUUCUGCAUGGCCUACAGUGGACGUAACAACGCUACCUACGAGCAAGCCUGCAGAGAUGCACUGACUACUUCUGAAGCACAGCACAGGUCAACAGAAUGAGCCUGCAGCAUAGCAUUUGCAGACUUCAAGGAACCCAGAACUUUGAGGAGGAAUUUUCCUAUUUCAAAGAAAUGAUGCCUCCUUAACAUCAUCAACAGCCCUGAUGCCUCUGUACAGAUAUCAACAGCAGUGGCUCUGUCCUCUGUAACCUCUGACAGGAUACUCAGAAUAGCAUCCUGAUUCUCCACAAGACACUUGGUCACAUCAUGGUGGCUUGUCCACCUGAUCUCCAACAGUCGUUUAAGGGAGGGAACAUUAUAGUUCUGUGACACAUAAUGACGGUGAAAAAAAGAGUGCAGUGAUCCUGAUAGAUCAAAAAAGAUUUUUG